AUCUGGGGAGAGGUUGAAACAGGAUCCCGCGGGAAAUAACAUCCCGCCUUGGCAGGCGGAUCUGCAAUGUUUGCUAAGCCUCAGAGAGGUCUCUUCUCACGGCCCGGCAACUAGUUUUUGAUUUGUUCAGCAGCCCCGGGAGAUGCUCCCUGGGUCGACGUCCAGGCACGCGACUGACCUCAGGUUCGGGAGGAAAAAAAUCAACCAAAAGCCCUUUCCCGGAUUUCUCCUUUGGACCCCAGCCUAGGCAGGCCCCCCGAUCAGAUUUGUUGAAGCAAGGGCUGGAAAGAGCAGCUGGCGGCAGCAAUCUGAUGAAGAAACAAAGGAAUGCCCCGCCAGUUCUGGGAUCCCAGGUAAACACGCCUGCUUUAUUAUGGAGAGGAGAGGAGCAGAUGAUUUGCGGUUGGAAAACGGGGAGGGAGAGGCGGAGAGAGGGAGAAAGCGGAGCCGGGGGAAGUCGUGGGAGGGGUGGUGGUGGGAGCGGUCGCAGGGAGCUGGUGCUUAUCUGUCAUCUGGCUUCUCUGUGUGCCAGCUGAGCCACGCGCCCGCCCUUUCUUAUUCUAAUCAGCACAUGCCUUUACAACUUUCGACAAACCUGCAGAGCAGCCAAACUUAUUCACCCGGCUCUCUUAAAAUCAAUACGUGGGCUCCGACUUUUCCUACGUGGGUGCAUGGCAUGGGGAGGGGGAACCCCCUAACUCGAUGGGUGCAGGCUCACUGUGAUCCCCAUUUUUCUCUCUUCUCCAACUCUCUCACCUGCACAGUGUGGAAGUCGGAAGUCCUGAGUUGCUGGAGCACCAAAUCUGGGGAGAGGAUUCCUUUCCCACAUUCUCAGUGACCUGCACAUGUGAAGCAGGAGGAGGGGGGGGGAGGGAGGAAGAUUGGGGAUUGUUACAGGAAAGGAUAAAUAGGUUGCCUAAAACCAAGCAACCAUGUUUAAUAAUAUUGCAUCUUUAAAGCCAAAUCCUAGGCAAAUCAGGGAAGUUUAAUUGUCAUUGCAUUUAAUUUGGAUUACUCUCAAGUGAAGUGUGCUUUGAACUACACCUGUUAACUCUCCUUUCGACUGGGUCACAUGUGAAUAUGGACUGUUUCUGUUCACUGACUUUGUCUUUGCAGCCGGCUUAUCAUUGGCGCCCCACUCUAAAGGCCCUGAAACAGAUGGGCAACUGAGGCAGUGGCUUCAAGUGAGCACACUGAGGAAUAAAUUUGAUCCCUGGAGAUGAUUGAGUGUGAGAUAGUGUCAAAACAAACAUAAUCUUGGUAACAAUUUUAUUUUUUAUGAUUGAACAGCUAAGAAGACACCAAACUGGCUAUGUGUGGCUGCUUAGAAUCCAUUUUUUUGUGGUGAAACUCAGAUCUUUAUAAAAAAAAUAGUCCCCCGUUUCUUGUAAAUCUUGUCUGUCACUGCGAUUGUAAGAAUUGGCACAAGACCUGCUGAUGCAGGAAGAUAAACAUGCAGGAGCCUUUUCUUCCAGUUAAGUAAUGUCAGUAUCUAAAGUAGAAAAAAAAAUCAUACAAAUGUAAUUCCUUGGUAUCUAUUACUAAAAACAACUGUGGAACAACCAAAAACUCUUUUCAAAGAAAUGCCCAAGCUCAUUCAAAGUUUUCUGCACAUAUUGAUUGAUGUCCAUUUUCCAAUGAUUUGAAUUAUGAUUUAUUUAUCCUUUUGACUUUAGCAGAAUUGAACGCCAAGGGAGCAAAAAAGUAACCCUAAUCUCCAAGUCUUCACGAUCCAUUCAAACUCAUGCAAAUGCAUUGAGAUUACUUGAAAGUACCGUAAAUACAGUUGAAAAAAUGAAUGAGACACAUGACCUCUGGGAAAAGAACUAAAGUCACAUCUAUUCAGCCAAGGUGGUUUUUGCCAAUAUUUGAUCUUGGGUGUGGAUUGAUCCCUAAAUCCAUUUAGGAUAAGCAAAUUGGAACUCUCCAGAUAUUUUGGACUAUGACCCUCAUCAUUCCUUGCUAUUUUACUAGGGAAUUCCAAAAAAGCUGCAGUUACCAUGUUUCUUAUCUUGAACUGAAUCAGAGUUCACCCAGCCAAUGUACAUGAAACUAUCUAGCUUGUUAUAUCAAUCAAUAGCUUGGACCUCAAAGCAAUUUCCUCCAUGUGAACGCCUCAUGUCUUGGAGUUAUCUUUUGUGUGUGGGAAGCUUUCAGAUUAAAUUAAUGGCAAGCUAUGACUAAUUAAUAACAAUCCUUUGGGUGAAUUUCCCCUCCCUCCCAAAAAACCCACCUAAUCCUAUUUUAGUUCACUGCCUAUAUUGCUGGGGAUGAUGAUGGAAGUUGCUGACUGUUUCUUCUGGAAGACACGGGAAUUGGGAAGGAUGAUUGUUUUAGUCCAAUAUCAAGGAAAGGUUUCCCAUCACUGACUGAGCCAUUAUAGAAUCAGUACCUCAAGUAAGUAAUGUUAAUCAUCAUCCUUCUUAAAAGUGUCAUUUUGCUUACUCAGUGGAUACAUAUAGAGUGGGGGGAUGAGAUUGAUUAAAUCCUAGAACUUCCAAAUGGAAUUACUGAAUCGUUCUGACUUGGAUUCUGUGGAUAUAGUGGGGUUAAUGGAAUUUGUUGCAGUAAGACCUCUCCUCCAAAUGGCUUAAUCUUCAACUAGCCCACACUGUAUUUGGAAAUAGAAGCAAUACUAUAACUGGGUUACCCAGAUAGAAGCUCAUCUUGCAUUCAUAUCACCAUGCCAGGCAUGUUAUGAUGUAGAUUCCAAUAUUCUCAGAUCAGUGAUUGUUCAAUGUCCAGUUAGAGGCAUGACUUUUAUAUAGACUGUUGGCCAUUAACCUAUUGGUUGAGGCCGACACGUCACAUCACACUUCUUUCCUGCAAAAGAUUACUUGGUUUUACUUCUCCCAAACUGGCAGGAAAGUUUGCAGUUCUUGAAGUUAGGGGCUUCAGUUUUCCACUAGCCAUGAGAAAUAGGACCUUUUACAAUGUGAUGUAAACUUGCUUGAAGUUAUCUUACCCAGGGUGCCUGCUGGCCACCUAUACCCAUCUCUAGAAAGCUCCAUUCCAUCCUCUUUUCCAUUUCCCUUCAACAGCCUGCAUCCUGUGCCCUUUAACUCAAUUUUUAAUAGUUUUUUUAAGCCUGCACAUUUUGCUAUUUCCUUUUUUAAACGGAUGCUUCCUUUUUGUAUUACAUCCAUAACUACCUUAAUUCUGGCUAUGUACAUACCUACAAAUUCAAUAUGAAUGACAGUUAAAUUGAACCAUCUGUGUUCAAGGAACUAAAUGGGAAAAGAAAUGUGUGUUGCCUUGAUGCUUAUAAACAUAGGUUUUGGUUUGCAUAUUGUGUGGAAUUGUUUUUGCUUAACUCUAGUUUCUUGAGUAUGCUUCAGUUGAUUGGGUUCACACCACAGAAAUUUAUAUAUUAUAUUAAUGAUUAACAAUCCAGGUAGCCACCUUAUCAUUUAUAUCCAGAUAACAGAUAACAUUUGACCAAGGACUCCCUAAAACUUCUUACUUGAAUGUAUCUCGAGCUGAACUUUCUCCAGACCAAACAAGUUCUCUGCCCCUUAGUUAUGACUGCUGCGUGGCAGAGGAAAUGGUCGAGCAAGAUACAUUCUUGAUCUACCCUUUAUCAUUUUGUCUUGGCUAUUUCCGGCCUCAGAAAAGGCUGCUCAGUCUUGCUGGAAAAGGGUAACUACAAAGGUUUUUGCAUCCUCCCCAGAAGGAAGUUGCAAAUCUUCCACUUCUCAGAUCACCCAAAUCUUCAAUCUGACAUUUUUUCAGAGCCUUUGGGAGCCAACUGGGCUCAGGCUGCUCAAAGGACAUGGUUUCUUUUUUCUCUGUUCUCUACAGAAAGAGCUUCAGGUCCCCACCCUCUCAGAUCUUGCUUCCUCCCCCCCUUUCCCUCCCCUCCUCUAAACAGGAUCAAAUUCACCUUGUCUUUUGCUUCUAACAUUUUGUCUGUGCUGGUUAAUGAGUUCAACAUAGUACAGUAAAUUUGCUGAGGAAUCAAAAAGUAUUUAAAAGGGGCUUGUGGUGCUGCCUUAAUGAAAAAGGUAAGGAUUUAUCACUUUUUUUCUGGCUGUUUUUUUUCCAAUCACCCUCUUUUCUCUCUCAACCUCCCCCCCCCCAGUCUAUUCAACAUACUUUAACUUAAGCUGCCUUUGCAUUGAGUUGGGGGGGGGGCAGGGAACAGCCAGCUAGAGGGACUGAAGCUGAAAGUGUGAGAGCGGAAUCUAGAGACAUGCAGGAGCUAGGAUGAAAAAACGCCAUUUGGUUAGGAGCAGAUGGCUGGCCAGGGGGGUGGAUUGCAUCUAAAGGCGUGUCAUCCCCCUUCAGCUUGAAUCCCUGAGGGCUCCCCUUGUCUUCAAAAUCAAUGAAAAUUAAAGUGCAGAGAAAGGAUGAAUGGAGGGACCCCGAGUCUCUUCUUUGUUCAGCCCAGCUACUGGUGGGCAGGAGUUAAACUACAACAGCCUCCUAUAGAAACACUUAAGUUAAACAGUCUCCCCGUUAGCCCAGAAGCAUCUGAGAAGAAGGGGCGGGGGAGCAAAGCAAAGAGGAAGGGGAGAGCAAGGGGGGGAAAAGGGGCUUUCUGCUUGAUUUCCCCAAUACAGAAUCGCGUGGCAUAAAUUAAGUUGGAAGAGAAUAAGCGCUUUGGGUAGGAUUCUGAUGGAUUUUAUGACGCCUUUCAGUUCCGCUUUGCAGACCUAAUCGAGAAAUCUGUGCUGCGUCAAUUUAACAAAUCCUUGAGAGCGAAGGCAGGUUAGUCAAAAAGAUUUGGAAAGACUUUUUUUUUAAUGGGGAGGCAGGGGUGAUCCAGGGGAAGCAGGCUUUUAAGCCCUUGCACGCGUUUAAGUUUGAUUCACACUCCUUCCCAUAACAGGAAUGUCAAAUGAAUAUCUAGAAAGUCUGGCUUCGAAGAUCAAAUCACCAUGGAUCCUAAAUCUGCUACGCCUUUAUUCUACGACACCCCUGACUUAACUGACCUAGGAAAAGAUGCCACCACAGCAAAUUUCUCUUUGCAUCUCUUCAUCCUUCAGCCUGGCAAAUGUCUAAGAACAACAGAUAAAGAGUAUUUCUCUUGCACAAGAGGGCAUGUUUUGCACAAGGAUUUUUAGUAUUAAUGAGAUCCAGAAGGGUGAUUUUUGAUAUUGGAGGAAUUUCCAAUAUAUUUCUUAGCUGUUGUAGAUUGUAUACUAAUUGUAUGAUAGUUUCUCUGAAAAUUGCCUCAAAGGCGAACAGGGGACCUAAAGUGAGUCUACUCACUCUGUUUACAAUCCCUGAAAACAACUGCUACAAUGAAAUCUCUCGAGCUUUUACAAAAACUCUGAAUAAUUGAGAGUAACAGAAUGUUACUUCAAUGUAUAGAACUAAUUACAGAUGAAUAGAUGAUACUCCUUGUUUAAAUAAAUCUUUACAUGAAUCAGUAGUAUAAAAUUAAAAUAUGUGUCCAAACUCGAAAAACUUGCCAACACUGCAGCUCUAAAUGAGACACUACAGGAUUUCUCCCAAUGGGUUCAAGAGAAAGUGUUUCCUAGGGCCUAUUUUAACUUACUUAAGGUAGUUAAAAUUAUUCUUUUUCUUUCUAAACAAGUUGCAUCAGACCAAGAAUAUAAUGCAACCACAAUUAUUUUCUUCAGAAAACAUUUACAAAUGCAAUAUACAACUACAAACAUAUCUGCUGUUUUGCUAUCCUGAGCAGCAAAGGAUCAUUUAUGUUUCUGUAGAAAUGCACUUACCCAGACAUAUACUUUAUUACACACUCAGAUUUCUUUGUUUUUUUCACAGGCAUUCCCCCUCUCAUUUUAAAUCAGUCUGUCUGCAUAUAUACCUUGUCCAUCAGUAUUCCUCAUCCAGAUGCUCUUGUUGUUUAAUGGAACUACAAUCCCCUUCAACUUGUAGGCCAAUAUACAUGAAAAGCACUGAAUGCAGAAAGCUUACAAUAAGGUAUAGGUUAGCAAGAGUAAGCAGAUGAACUUUCAAAAGAUACCCAGUUGAUUAUUCUCUGACUAAUUUAUUUAUCAGUGUUAUUGGGAAGUUUUUAAAGAAAUGAAUCACUGCCUGGAAAAAAGAUAAAUACUAAGUAUACUCCAUGCAUUUGACAUGCAAACUUAAAUAAACAGCAACAUUUCUUCACUG